rnacentral:rRNA from 1 species
CAGUCGCCGCGGUAAUACGAAGGGUGCAAGCGUUAAUCGGAAUUACUGGGCGUAAAGCGUGCGUAGGCGGUGAGUUAAGUCUGCUGUGAAAUCCCCGGGCUCAACCUGGGAAUGGCAGUGGAUACUGGCUCGCUAGAGUGUGUCAGAGGAUGGUGGAAUUCCCGGUGUAGCGGUGAAAUGCGUAGAGAUCGGGAGGAACAUCAGUGGCGAAGGCGGCCAUCUGGGACAACACUGACGCUGAGGCACGAAAGCGUGGGGAGCAAGCAGGAUUAGAGACCCGUGUAGUCCCUGUCUCUUAUAC